AUGCAGCAUGAGGAAGAGCUGCAUUUGGAGUCAGAAAACACAGGUAUGGACAUGUCAACCUUGUCUAGGUCACAGUCAAUGCAGCUGCCUCGUCUACAGUGCUCGGCGCUCUGGGGAAGAAACGGUGUGUCCCGGCUUUGUGUCUGCAAUGGGAAGCCAUUUAUUCUUCCCUCUUCUUUUCACAGGAAAAUGCUUUCCUCUGCCCUUCUGUGUGCAAAAUGGGGGAAAGAACUGGCAUUUACUUUUACCGGUGUGUUUUUAAAAAGUGACGCAUGCAUGUGGAUUAGGGAAGAAAUUCAAAUAGCACAAAAGACCGUCGGUGUAAACAGCCCUGCCCGCUGUGACAUGAAGCAUGAAUAAAUGGAAAGCAUUAGUCACGGAGGGAGCUUGGGCCACAUCCUAGAAUCCAGCGGGGGAAAUUCACUAAGAAUACUCCUGGAGGCGACUCUACUUCCCCCACGACCGCACCUCUUAUACCAAAGCAAAGAAAGAAAGAGCAAGAGAGGGUCAUAAACACCGCAUUUUUUCGUCCUCAUUUACAAAGGUCCACGUUCACCGCCCCCCUUCCGGGUGCGGUCUGGAGGAUAAGGUAGGAAUGGGCCGUGGGACCACAGGGCUCCCAAGGGCCAAUGUAGCAAGCGGUAAUCCUUCUUGAACAGAAUGAAAUACAGGGUCCUCAGAGGUGGUGCAAAUACACAUUAUCCAGUGAUAUUUCGUCCUGGCAGCAAUUAGUCGAUAGGUUGCCAACUAUCGGGCGUCAGGGGAGCCCCCACUUUUGCUUUUGCCCUGGGCCCCAUAAUUUGUAAAUCCGGUGCUGGCAUUUCAGUAAAAAUACCCAGAAGGAGUUCUUUGGGUGCUAGAUGCAACACAGAAAAGUAUAUUAAAGAUAUUCAGAAAACAAUGACUUUUCCAAUAGGUUUUUAAUGCCAAACAUAUGUACUCCUCACUGAAAUUCGAGUGCAUAGCAGAUUCUGAGAUUUCACUUCAACUCCCCCAGCUGGCAUCCGACACAUUCCAAAAUGUUGCCUCCACUGGAUACGUCUAUUUUUAAUCCCUUCAGAUGCCUUUCUUUUUUGGCAAAUUGGGAGGAAGAGAGUGCCUGUCGCUCCACGUCUUUCCGUUCAUAUUUUGCAUAAAUCAACCAGGAAUUAAGAAUUAAACAAUCACUUCAUAUCUCAGUUGUCAAAUAUUUCACUGUUGGGAGACGUAUUUGCAUAUCUGAAAACAUGUCGGCCUCUCGGUGUGUUCGGGCUGUGGAGAAUAGAAAGAAAACUCUUUGGGAUACCGACGAGCACAACAGCCAGAAAGAGAUUUGGGGCAAGGUGGUCAAAGAAGGUGGUAGGUCCACGUAACAAGAUGA
rnacentral:lncRNA from 1 species